GACGAACGCUGGCGGCGUGCCUAAUACAUGCAAGUCGAGCGGACGGAUGGGAGCUUGCUCCCAGACCGUCAGCGGCGGACGGGUGAGUAACACGUGGGCAACCUGCCUGUAAGACUGGGAUAACUCCGGGAAACCGGGGCUAAUACCGGAUAACUCUUUCCCUCACAUGAGGGAAAGCUGAAAGAUGGCAUCUCGCUAUCACUUACAGAUGGGCCCGCGGCGCAUUAGCUAGUUGGUGAGGUAACGGCUCACCAAGGCGACGAUGCGUAGCCGACCUGAGAGGGUGAUCGGCCACACUGGGACUGAGACACGGCCCAGACUCCUACGGGAGGCAGCAGUAGGGAAUCUUCCGCAAUGGACGAAAGUCUGACGGAGCAACGCCGCGUGAGUGAUGAAGGUUUUCGGAUCGUAAAACUCUGUUGUCAGGGAAGAACAAGUACCGGAGUAACUGCCGGUACCUUGGCGGUACCUGACCAGAAAGCCACGGCUAACUACGUG
rnacentral:rRNA from 1 species